rnacentral:rRNA from 1 species
UUGACCUCGAAUCAGGUAGGAAUACGCGCUGAACUUAAGCAUAUCAAUAAGCGCAGGAAAAGAAACCAACAGGGAUUGCCUCAGUAACGGCGAGUGAAGCGGCAACAGCUCAAAUUUGAAAUCUGGCCUCUUGGGGCCCGAGUUGUAAUUUGUAGAGGAUGUUUUGGGUACCGCCCCGGUUUAAAUUUCUUGGAACAGAAUGUCAAAGAGGGUGAGAAUCCCGUCUUGGACCGGCGGUAGGGCCUGUGUAAAACUCCUUCGACGAGUCGAGUUGUUUGGGAAUGCAGCUCAAAAUGGGUGGUAAAUUUCAUCUAAAGCUAAAUAUUGGCCAGAGACCGAUAGCGCACAAGUAGAGUGAUCGAAAGAUGAAAAGCACUUUGAAAAGAGAGUUAAACAGUAUGUGAAAUUGUUGAAAGGGAAGCGCUUGCAACCAGACUUGCGCGCGGCGGUUCCCCUUGCCUUUUGGCCAGGGUACUCCGCCGCGUCCAGGCCAACAUCGGUUUUGGGGGCCAGUUAAAGGCCCUGGGAAUGUACCUACCCACGGGUAGACUUAUAGACCAGGGUGCCAUGUGGCCUCCCGGGACCGAGGAACGCGCUUCGGCUCGGAUGUUGGCGUAAUGGUUGUCAGCGACCCGUCUUGAAACACGGACCAAGGAGUCUAACAUCUAUGCGAGUGUUUGGGUGUCAAACCCGGAACGCGGAAUGAAAGUGAACGGAGGUAGGAAGCUUCGGCUGCACUAUCGACCGAUCCUGAAGUUUACGGAUGGAUUUGAGUAAGAGCAUAGCUGUUGGGACCCGAAAGAUGGUGAACUAUGCCUGAAUAGGGUGAAGCCAGAGGAAACUCUGGUGGAGGCUCGCAGCGGUUCUGACGUGCAAAUCGAUCGUCAAAUUUGGGUAUAGGGGCGAAAGACUAAUCGAACCAUCUGGUAGCUGGUUCCUGCCGAAGUUUCCCUCAGGAUAGCAGUAACGUUUUCAGUUUUAUGAGGUAAAGCGAAUGAUUAGAGGCCUUGGGGUUGAAACAACCUUAACCUAUUCUCAAACUUUAAAUAUGUAAGAAGUCCUUGUUACUUAAUUGAACGUGGACAUUUGAAUGUACCGUUACUAGUGGGCCAUUUUUGGUAAGCAGAACUGGCGAUGCGGGAUGAACCGAACGUGAGGUUAAGGUGCCGGAAUGUACGCUCAUCAGACACCACAAAAGGUGUCAAUGCAUCUAGACAGCCGGACGGUGGCCAUGGAAGUCGGAAUCCGCUUAGGAGUGUGUAACAACUCACCGGCCGAAUGCAUUGGCCCUGAAAAUGGAUGGCGCUUAAGCGUGCUACCUAUACCUCGCCGUUAGGGUUGACAUGAUGCCCUAACGAGUAGGCAGGCGUGGAGGUCCGUGACGAAGCCUUGGGGGUGACCCCGGGUCGAACGACCUCUAGUGCAGAUCU